rnacentral:sRNA from 1 species
AGAUAUUCCAAGUUUCAACAUUUUUCUCUUCAAUUUUUGAAUCUUUUCGAUUUCUCAAACUCUCUCUCUCUCUCUCUCUCUCUCUCU